UGUUUGAUGUUCUAACGUGGACCCGUGAUCCGGGUUGCGGACAGUGUCUGGUGGGUAGUUUGACUGGGGCGGUCUCCUCCUAAAGAGUAACGGAGGAGCACGAAGGUUGGCUAAUCCUGGUCGGACAUCAGGAGGUUAGUGCAAUGGCAUAAGCCAGCUUGACUGCGAGCGUGACGGCGCGAGCAGGUGCGAAAGCAGGUCAUAGUGAUCCGGUGGUUCUGAAUGGAAGGGCCAUCGCUCAACGGAUAAAAGGUACUCCGGGGAUAACAGGCUGAUACCGCCCAAGAGUUCAUAUCGACGGCGGUGUUUGGCACCUCGAUGUCGGCUCAUCACAUCCUGGGGCUGAAGUAGGUCCCAAGGGUAUGGCUGUUCGCCAUUUAAAGUGGUACGCGAGCUGGGUUUAGAACGUCGUGAGACAGUUCGGUCCCUAUCUGCCGUGGGCGCUGGAGAACUGAGGGGGGCUGCUCCUAGUACGAGAGGACCGGAGUGGACGCAUCACUGGUGUUCGGGUUGUCAUGCCAAUGGCACUGCCCGGUAGCUAAAUGCGGAAGAGAUAAGUGCUGAAAGCAUCUAAGCACGAAACUUGCCCCGAGAUGAGUUCUCCCUGAGACUUUAGGUCUCCUGAAGGAACGUUGAAGACGACGACGUUGAUAGGC
rnacentral:rRNA from 1 species